rnacentral:rRNA from 1 species
CGGGACACGUGGUAUCCUGUCUGAAUAUGGGGGGACCAUCCUCCAAGGCUAAAUACUCCUGACUGACCGAUAGUGAACCAGUACCGUGAGGGAAAGGCGAAAAGAACCCCGGCGAGGGGAGUGAAAAAGAACCUGAAACCGUGUACGUACAAGCAGUGGGAGCACGCUUAGGCGUGUGACUGCGUACCUUUUGUAUAAUGGGUCAGCGACUUAUAUUCUGUAGCAAGGUUAACCGAAUAGGGGAGCCGAAGGGAAACCGAGUCUUAACUGGGCGUUAAGUUGCAGGGUAUAGACCCGAAACCCGGUGAUCUAGCCAUGGGCAGGUUGAAGGUUGGGUAACACUAACUGGAGGACCGAACCGACUAAUGUUGAAAAAUUAGCGGAUGACUUGUGGCUGGGGGUGAAAGGCCAAUCAAACCGGGAGAUAGCUGGUUCUCCCCGAAAGCUAUUUAGGUAGCGCCUCGUGAAUUCAUCUCCGGGGGUAGAGCACUGUUUCGGCAAGGGGGUCAUCCCGACUUACCAACCCGAUGCAAAC